rnacentral:rRNA from 1 species
AUACGGAGGGACCAAGCGUUGUUCGGAAUCAUUGGGCGUAAAGCGGGCGCAGGCGGCUCGGCAAGUCGGGUGUGAAAGCCCAGGGCUCAACCCUGGAACUGCACUCGAAACUGCCGAGCUAGAGUCCCGGAGAGGGUGGCGGAAUUCCCGGUGUAGAGGUGAAAUUCGUAGAUAUCGGGAGGAACACCAGUGGCGAAGGCGGCUUUCUGGACCAAUACUGACGCUGAGGCGCGAAAGCGUGGGGAGCAAACAGGAUUAGAUACCCCAGUAGUCC